GAGGGUAUAGCUCAGUGGUAGAGUGCCUGCUUAGCAUGCAUGAGGUCCUGGAUUCAAUCCCCAGUAUCUCCA
rnacentral:tRNA from 1 species